CCUACGGGUGGCAGCAGUCGAGAAUCAUUCACAAUGGGGGAAACCCUGAUGGUGCGACGCCGCGUGGGGGAAUGAAGGUCUUCGGAUUGUAAACCCCUGUCAUGUGGGAGCAAAUUAAAAAGAUAGUACCACAAGAGGAAGAGACGGCUAACUCUGUGCCAGCAGCCGCGGUAAUACAGAGGUCUCAAGCGUUGUUCGGAAUCACUGGGCGUAAAGCGUGCGUAGGCUGUUUCGUAAGUCGUGUGUGAAAGGCGCGGGCUCACCCCGCGGACGGCACAUGAUACUGCGAGACUAGAGUAAGGGAGGGGGAACCGGAAGUCUCGGUGGAGCAGUGAAAUGCGUAGAUAUCGAGAGGAACACUCGUGGCGAGGGCGGGUUCCUGGACAUUAACUGACGCUGAGGCACGAAUGCCAGGGGAGCGAAAGGGAUUAGAUACCCCGGUAGUC
rnacentral:rRNA from 1 species